rnacentral:rRNA from 1 species
UAGGGGUUUCCCAUGGCGCCUGUUUAUCAAAAACAUUUUUUUUAGAUUUCAUUAAAAGUAGACCCUGCUCAGUGAAAUUUCAACAGCCGCAGAUCAACUGUGCUAAGGUAGCAUAAUAACUUGCCUUUUAAUUUGAGGCUAGCAUGAAUGGGAUUACAUUAAAUUAUCUUUCUCUUUUCUUUAUUUUGAAAUUAAAUUAAUAGUAAAAAUUCUAUUACACAUUAAAAGGACGACAAGACCCUAUCAAACUUUACUAAAGUUUAACUGGGGCGGUAAAAAAAAAAUUCUUUUUUAAAUUUAACUAAUUACUUAAAAACCAAGUUACUGUAGGGAUAACAGCAUAAUUUUUUUUUAGAGAUCUUAUCAAAAAAAAAGAUUGUGACCUCGAUGUUGAAUUAAAUUUCCUAACUCACGAAACCCUGAAUAUAGUAAGUCUGUUCGACUUUUAAAAAUUUACGUGAUCUGAGUUCAAACCGGCCAUGG